AUUUAUAUAGUUUAAAAAAAACAUUGCAUUUUCAUUGUAAAAUUAGAAAUUUCUUAUAAUUA
rnacentral:tRNA from 1 species